rnacentral:misc_RNA from 1 species
GGGCUUUGGACCUCGUCGUCGCCGGCAGAGAUGAAGAAUCCCGGUGAAAGCUCCGGCAAGGCUGGGAGGUUCAGGUCAAAGUCGCGGUGGCUGUGACUCUGUGUGUGGGUGGACCCAACCCCUUCCGAAGAUGUCACAGCGGCGGGGGCGGCGGCGUUGUUGUGACUCUGUAUGUGAUUGUUGCUGUUGUUGUUGUUACCGAGUCCGCCGUCGUAGUGGCAACGUUUGUGGCCGCCUAAGGCUUGACCGGUGGGGAAAGACUUGUGACAAAUAGAGCACUCGUGGGAUUUACCUCCACCGACGGAGGCGGUGGCGGUGGCGGUGGCGGU